CUGCUUCAGCAGCAUGUAUAAUAAAAUUGGAACUAUACAAAGAAGAUUAGCAUGGCCCCUGCACAAGGAAGACAUGCAAAUUCCUGAAGCAUUCCAUAUUUAA